rnacentral:rRNA from 1 species
CUACGGGUUCAGCAGUGAGGAAUAUUGCACAAUGGGGGGAACCCUGAUGCAGCAACGCCGCGUGGAGGAUGACGCAUUUCGGUGUGUAAACUCCUUUUAUAUGUCAAGAAAAUGACGGUAGCAUAUGAAUAAGCACCGGCUAACUCCGUGCCAGCAGCCGCGGUAAUACGGAGGGUGCAAGCGUUACUCGGAAUCACUGGGCGUAAAGGACGCGUAGGCGGGCUUGUAAGUCAGGUGUGAAAUCCUACAGCUUAACUGUAGAACUGCACUUGAAACUACGAGCCUAGAGUAUGGGAGGGGCAGAUGGAAUUAGUGGUGUAGGGGUAAAAUCCGUAGAUAUCACUAGGAAUACCUAAAGCGAAGGCGAUCUGCUGGAACAUAACUGACGCUAAGGCGUGAAAGCGUGGGGAGCAAACAGGAUUAGAUACCCUCGUAGUC